AGUCCUCUCCACCCCAAGGUAGGCAGCUUCCCGCUCCUCGUCUUGGGACCUAAACCCAGGAAGUCAAAUGUCCUUUUCUAGCAGGUCGCCUGGUUAGAGGCCGUGGACGAAGCGGUCCAGGCACAGCCAGCUGCAGGGCGCGGCCUCGGCGGCGCUGCUCGUGGCCCUGGUCAGUGAGCGCACUCACUCCUGGACUAAGCUCUAUGCAACUCAUUUUCAUCUAGCAUUACCUCUCCAAAACCUGAAUCUCCACAAGAAAGCCACACAGCAAUUAACCAGUGUUGCAAGAACUGCUUCUGUAAUAAAGGUGGGAAGACAAAUUGAUGCAACCCUCUUGAAAAGCAAUCUGGCAAUAUGAACCAAGAGCCAUGAAAAGGCUUAUGCUAUUAUAAUUAAAUGGCUGUAAUGUUGGCUGUAAAUAUGAAAUUUUCUUUCACACACCAAUGUUUUCAAGAAUGGCAUAUUCACAUGCAGUAUGUGAUGAAAGAAGCAGUAAAGGAUGCUAACAAAGCUAUUUCUUUGGACAAUCUGAACCUGUUAUUGCUGGUGAAAAGGAUGUUUAAGCAGAGUGAGAGACUCUCAGCAAAAAAAGGUAACUGAAAGAGUGGUAAGUCAGACAAAGAAGAAAAAUGCCAAAGAAGAGGGUCAAGAACAACUCAUAUGACUCCGAAAUCCCUUACCCACAUUGGAGUUAUAAAAAGUUCAGGAGCUGGAGACAAAAGGCAGGUUCAUAAAGAGGAUUCCUUGGAGAGAGUUGUUAUAAUGCUAUGAGAAAAUUGAAGCCAACAGAAGUUAACUAACUUGCCUAAAAUAACACAGCUGUGGCAAAUUAGGACCAGAACCAAGGUCUCCUGACCUAAGUGCUACUCCCACCAUACUACAUGAUCUGCUGUUUAAAAUUUUGGUGAGCUUUAUAACAUAAAUAAAACUACAGAUGUGAA
rnacentral:lncRNA from 1 species